rnacentral:rRNA from 1 species
AUUGAACGCUGGCGGCAGGCCUAACACAUGCAAGUCGAGCGGAUGAAGGGAGCUUGCUCCUGGAUUCAGCGGCGGACGGGUGAGUAAUGCCUAGGAAUCUGCCUGGUAGUGGGGGAUAACGUCCGGAAACGGGCGCUAAUACCGCAUACGUCCUGAGUGUGAAAGUGGGGGUUCUUCGGACCUCACGCUAUCAGAUGAGCCUAGGUCGGAUUAGCUAGUUGGUGUGGUAAAGGCCUACCAAGGCGACGAUCCGUAACUGGUCUGAGAGGAUGAUCAGUCACACUGGAACUGAGACACGGUCCAGACUCCUACGGGAGGCAGCAGUGGGGAAUAUUGGACAAUGGGCGAAAGCCUGAUCCAGCAAUGCCGCGUGUGUGAAGAAGGUCUUCGGAUUGUAAAGCACUUUAAGUUGGGAGGAAGGGAAGUAAGUGAAUACCUUGCUGUUUUGACGUUACCAACAGAAUAAGCACCGGCUAACUUCGUG